UGGAAGGAGGGGGCAGCCACAGAGGAUAUCUGAGAGGCACAGUGAGACUCUGGGAGAGUUUGAGAGCCAGAGCUCUCCCCAGGAGGCAGCAGGCCUGAGGCCAGCCACUCAGUGUGGGAAGGGGCAAGGGAAACUGGCUAUUUCCCCAUCACUGACAGGCUGUAUAGGGGGGAGGAUAUUCCUAUACUGAGCCCAAAGUCACCAAGACGCUAAAUGCCAAAGUGUUUCAGGAAAAGUCAUAGCAGCCCUUAGAGAAGGCAAAAGAGGAUAAUCACAAAAUAGCAGAACAUUUUGAACACUGGCCAGGAAGAGGCAAAAGCAGCAGCCAGCUGACUACAGCUGGGAACGGGCAGCUAUUUUUAACAGUACAGAAUGCAGUAGAGAUCAAGCAGAACUUUCCAGCUUAGCUGCAGGACAUCUGGCAGCUUCCAGUCUCACCUCUAGGAACCCUAGGACUACCAUGCUGUGAAGAAGCUUGGAAAAAAAAAAGACCAGGUAUUGAGAAGGCUUAGGUGUCCUGGCCUCCCAGCCAUUCCAGCUGAAAGCCCCAAACAUGUGAGAUUCCACCUUCAAUAAAGCCUCAUCAAAACCAGGAGCUGACUACAGCCUCCUAAUGAGACCAAGUGAGACAGUGGAUACAGAGAGGAUCCUAGGACUAGGGGAGGAAAUACUGCUUCUCAAGGAAAGGUAAAAAGAUGGGUGGGGGGCAGAGUGUGGAGAGAGAGAUUCCUAGAUUGUGCUGUCACUCAAAUAGAUGGCCAGUGUUCUCACCUAACUCCAGAGAGAGGGUAGGUGGGCACCAAAUGGCUUAAGGUAUCCAAGUAAGUAUUCAAUGUCUUGGGUAAAGGGCAAACUAAAGACAGUAGAUUGAAAGUGAUCAAGAAGACAGCAACUAGGAGAACUUUAUGAGAUGAAGAAAAAGAAAGUAACAGUAUACAUCUAACCCUCACCUGAGCUUUGUGCAGUAGAAAUCCUGAGAUAUUUUCUUAUUAAAGGAAAAAUAACAUAAUAGCAUUGUGGCUUCACUCUUGCCCAGAAAGGAGUGCUUUUAACUGCAAGAGAUUAAUUAGCCAGGGAAACAGGAGAAGGAAUGAUCAUAAGCCCCAGACUUAGCACAAAAAAUACAUCCCACCUACCUAAGCUUUCCAUGGCAGACAGGUUUGAAAUUAUCCAACCCACCCUGCAAGGAGUAAAGAAAUCCUGUAACACAGCUAUCCUGCUUUCAUGGCUUUUCCUUUUUCUAACCCGCCCUUUUUACUGUAUUUCAAACCAAGGGUUUAAGCAUAAUCUUCACAGUGAGAAGGUACUGAAGACAAAGCAAAGGAAGUCUAACGUGACUGAUAAUCUAGUACCUACUUUGCAAGGACCUUGUGAAGAUCAAACGACAGGAUGUGUUCACUAUAAGCAAUUGGCAAAUAUGUGCUUGAUAAACGGUAACUAUGUUAUCUAUUUGUGGCUUUACCAUAGGACUGAACACAGCUCCAUGUAUCUGUUUUAAAUUUAAUUGUUCACACGAUCAUAUUUUUUUCUUUAGCCGACAAUUGCUUGAAAACAGUGACUGUAUUUUAUUUUUGUGUGUGUACCAGUCUAGAACAGGCAGUUCCUGUUAGGCACUACACAAAUAUUUGUUAAAUGAAUGAAUCAAUGAAUGGAAGAAGACAUACUUGCUGAAUUGCAUAAAAAGAG